UCCGGUUGCAGCAGCAGGUGACGACUGAAGCCGUACAGCGGCUUGGCGGAGAAGUGCAGGCGCUGGUUCAAGCCCAGCCGCCGGCU
rnacentral:tRNA from 1 species